rnacentral:lncRNA from 1 species
CAAAACAGUCAAAAAUCCCUGCCUUUAUGCGGCAUAUAUUUUCUUAUUUUCAUUGAUUCAGUCAUCUACUGAGAUGCUAUAAACCAGACAAUUUCAGAAGAGAUGAAGACAAAGUGCAGUUUCUUCCUUCAAGACAUUUGUGAUCCAGACACAGAGCUACGCAGCCAGAAAUUGGUACUGUGCCGUGUCUCUGCCACUGUCAACACUCACAAGACACCAGCCACACACCAGGUAGUAGCCCUGGGCACAAAAUGUCCUCUCCCUCAAAGUUUCAUGUAUAUCACAUGGAAUGUGUUUUAAAAAUAUCCGUUGAAUAAUUUAAUGAGGACAUAAAUAUACCCUACCUUUGUUGUAAUAAAUUCAUUCAUUCAACAAAACUUGUUGACUGUCUAUAAUGUGUCUUGCCAAGGAAGAUUUUUCUAAGCCUGAAUUGGAGGAGAACCUGGAUUUGACCUGCAAAAUGACUA